GACGAACCGUGCAAACGUUGUUCGGAAUCACUGGGCUUAAAGGGCGCGUAGGCGGAUCAGCAAGUCCGGGGUGAAAUCUUUCGGCUCAACCGGAAAAGUGCCUUGGAUACUGCUGGUCUGGAGGGAGGUAGGGGCAUGUGGAACUUCCGGUGGAGCGGUGAAAUGCGUUGAUAUCGGAAGGAACUCCGGUGGCGAAAGCGACGUGCUGGACCUCUUCUGACGCUGAGGCGCGAAAGCUAGGGGAGCGAACGGG
rnacentral:rRNA from 1 species